AAUCAACGCUGGCGGCGUGCCUAACACAUGCAAGUCGAACGAGAAAGUGGACCCAAUCCAUGAGUAAAGUGGCGACCGGGUGAGUAACACGUGACUAACCUACCUUCGAGUGGGGGAUAACCUCGGGAAACCGGGGACUAAUACCGCAUAACAUCUUUGAAGUGGAAAUUUCGGAGAUCAAAGGAGCAAUUCGCUGGAAGAGGGGGUCGCGGCUGAUUAGCUAGUUGGCGGAGUAACGGCCCACCAAGGCUAGAUCGGUAGCCGGCCUGAGAGGGCGCACGGCCACACUGGAACUGAAACACGGUCCAGACUCCUACGGGAGGCAGCAGUGGGGAAUUUUGCGCAAUGGGGGAAACCCUGACGCAGCAACGCCGCGUGGAGGAUGAAGUCCCUUGGGACGUAAACUCCUUUCGACCCGGACGAUAAUGACGGUACGGGUGGAAGAAGCCCCGGCUAACUUCGUGCCAGCAGCCGCAGU
rnacentral:rRNA from 1 species